UGGGGAAUAUUGCACAAUGGGCGAAAGCCUGAUGCAGCAACGCCGCGUGAGUGAUGAAGGCCUUCGGGUUGUAAAGCUCUGUCUUCUGGGACGAUAAUGACGGUACCAGAGGAGGAAGCCACGUCUAACUACGUGCCGGCAGCCGCGGUAAUACGUAGGUGGCAAGCGUUGUCCGGAUUUACUGGGCGUAAAGGAUGCUUAGGCGGAUACUUAAGUCAGAUGGGAAAAUCCCGGGCUUAACUUGGGAACUGCAUUUGAAACUGGGUAUCUAGAGUGCGGGAGAGGAAAGUGUAAUUCCUAGUGUAGCGGUGAAAUGCGUAGAGAUUAGGAAGAACACCAGUGGCGAAGGCGACUUUCUCGACCGUAACUGACGCUGAGGCAUGAAAGCGUGGGGAGCAAACA
rnacentral:rRNA from 1 species